UCGAGCUCACUCGUAUUCAACCUUCUUGCUCUUCCACACAGGAGAUCUCGGAGAACAGACUUUCUGAGACGAGCCCCCUGCAGACCAGUGCGACCGUUAAGGCGACUCCUGCGGCAAGCGGAUCUUGGAAAGAACCUAGCUUCGAGUGAGGAGGGAAUACACCUGCAUCAGUCACUCCCUAAGUGCUCGGGACCUGACAUGUGGUGCAGCCGACGACCUAGAGCAGAAGGAACAAACCUGAGCACUACACUCAGAAAGCACGCACGCGGCCUUGCAGCAGUCAGACAGAGGCACGACCGCCUUUUCCACCUGAGGACCACGACAGGAGCAGAUCAGA